rnacentral:rRNA from 1 species
GUUAUAGGGUCAAGCGAACAAGUGCAUGUGGUGGAUGCCUUGGCGAUCACAGGCGAUGAAGGACGCGGUAGCCUGCGAAAAGCUACGGGGAGCUGGCAAACGAGCUUUGAUCCGUAGAUGUCCGAAUGGGGAAACCCACUCCUUUUGGAGUAUCCAUGGCUGAAUACAUAGGCCAUGUGAAGCGAACGCGGUGAACUGAAACAUCUAAGUAACCGCAGGAAAAGAAAUCAACCGAGAUUCCCAAAGUAGUGGCGAGCGAAAUGGGAUGAGCCUUGCACUCUUUAUUUGUAUUGUUAGCCGAACGCUCUGGAAAGUGCGGCCAUAGCAGGUGAUAGCCCUGUAGGCGAAAACAGUAUGAAAGAACUAGGUGUGCGACAAGUAGGGCGGGACACGUGAAAUCCUGUCUGAAGAUGGGGGGACCAUCCUCCAAGGCUAAAUACUCGUGAUCGACCGAUAGUGAACCAGUACCGUGAGGGAAAGGCGAAAAGAACCCCGGGAGGGGAGUGAAAUAGAUCCUGAAACCGCAUGCAUACAAACAGUCGGAGCCUCGUAAGGGGUGACGGCGUACCUUUUGUAUAAUGGGUCAGCGACUUACGUUCAGUAGCAAGCUUAACCGUAUAGGGCAGGCGUAGCGAAAGCGAGUCCGAAUAGGGCGUUCAGUUGCUGGGCGUAGACCCGAAACCAGGUGAUCUAUCCAUGGCCAGGAUGAAGGUGCGGUAACACGUACUGGAGGUCCGAACCCACUAACGUUGAAAAGUUAGGGGAUGAGCUGUGGAUAGGGGUGAAAGGCUAAACAAACCUGGAAAUAGCUGGUUCUCUCCGAAAACUAUUUAGGUAGUGCCUCGUGUCUCACCUUCGGGGGUAGAGCACUGUCAUGGUUGGGGGGUCUAUUGCAGAUUACCCCGCCAUAGCAAACUCCGAAUACCGAAGAGUGCAAUCACGGGAGACAGACAUCGGGUGCUAACGUCCGGUGUCAAGAGGGAAACAACCCAGACCGCCAGCUAAGGUCCCCAAAUAUAGCUAAGUGGGAAACGAAGUGGGAAGGCUAAAACAGUCAGGAGGUUGGCUUAGAAGCAGCCACCCUUUAAAGAAAGCGUAAUAGCUCACUGAUCGAGUCGUCCUGCGCGGAAGAUGUAACGGGGCUAAGCUAUAUACCGAAGCUGCGGAUGCGUGCUUGCACGCAUGGUAGGAGAGCGUUCCGUAAGCCUGCGAAGGUGCCUUGUAAAGGGUGCUGGAGGUAUCGGAAGUGCGAAUGCUGACAUGAGUAGCGAUAAAGGGGGUGAAAGGCCCCCUCGCCGUAAGCCCAAGGUUUCCUACGCAACGUUCAUCGGCGUAGGGUGAGUCGGCCCCUAAGGCGAGGCAGAAAUGCGUAGCUGAUGGGAAGCAGGUCAAUAUUCCUGCACCAUUGUUAGAUGCGAUGGGGGGACGGAUCGCGGAAGGUUGUCCGGGUGUUGGAAGUCCCGGUCGCUGCAUUGGAGAAGGCGCUUAGGCAAAUCCGGGCGCGUAAUUCAAGGGUGUGGCGCGAGCUCCUUCGGGAGCGAAGCAAUUGGAAGUGGUUCCAAGAAAAGCCUCUAAGCUUCAGUCUAACGAUGACCGUACCGCAAACCGACACAGGUGGGCGAGAUGAGUAUUCUAAGGCGCUUGAGAGAACUCGGGAGAAGGAACUCGGCAAAUUGGUACCGUAACUUCGGGAUAAGGUACGCCCUUGUAGCUUGACUGGCCUGCGCCAGGAGGGUGAAGGGGUUGCAAUAAACUGGUGGCUGCGACUGUUUAAUAAAAACACAGCACUCUGCAAACACGAAAGUGGACGUAUAGGGUGUGACGCCUGCCCGGUGCCGGAAGAUUAAAUGAUGGGGUGCAAGCUCUUGAUUGAAGUCCCGGUAAACGGCGGCCGUAACUAUAACGGUCCUAAGGUAGCGAAAUUCCUUGUCGGGUAAGUUCCGACCUGCACGAAUGGCGUAACGAUGGCCACACUGUCUCCUCCCGAGACUCAGCGAAGU